rnacentral:tRNA from 1 species
GCCGGCCUAGCUCAAUCGGUAGAGCAACUGACUUUUAAUCAGUAGGUUGGGGGUUCAAGUCCUAUGCCCGCA